UUACGUCCAUAUCAAGUUGAAAUACCAGUUAUCGUACGAUCACUGGAGUUAAGUAACAUCGAGCCUGUUCAUUACCUAGAUGGGUGACCGUUUAGGAAUACCAGGAGCUGUAA